rnacentral:misc_RNA from 1 species
GUUUGACUGAAACUAUCAGCGGAGGAAGAAGUAACUGGGGAGAAACAGAUCUGAAAGCAAAGAAAUUCUCUUUCAAUUGCAGGUCUUAUCAUCAUAUCAUGAUUUAAUUGACCAUAUCUCAUACUAUACCCACAAAUACUAAAAGCCCAAAAUCCCCAAAAUGCCUAGACCUUAUUUCUACAAGCUAAUUCUCCCCAAUACUAUUAGAGACAAGAAACUGAGGAUCCCUGAUAAUUUUGUUAAAAAAUUUGGACAUGAUUUAUCUGCAUUUGGGACACUUAGUGUUCCUGGUGGUCCUGUGUGGCGUGUAGGAUUAAUAAAAGCUGAUGAUAAAUUUUGGUUUCAUGAAGGAUGGCCAGAAUUUAUGGACAGUUACUCAAUACGCGUAGGGUACUUUUUGGUCUUCAGAUAUGAAGGGCAUGCAGUUUUCUCUGUUCAUAUAUUCAAUUUGUCUGCUUCUGAGAUAAACUAUCAAUCUAAUGCUCCAAGUGGCAGAAGAUAUCUUGCGUUUGAAGAGAUGGAAGAUGAUGACUUCAUUGAAUACUUGAGCUCCUCAUCUCCAUGCUUAGUUCCUAAUUCUUUGAAAAGUAAGGUUUUUGAUGAACAUCUUGGUCAAAUGACAAUUAACAAAAGUUACAAUCCGCCAGCAUUGCAGAAUUUGUUCCAUGAGUCUAAACUUAACUACAUAAAUUGGUCUGGUGAAGGGAACCUGCACUUAUCAAAGGGUGCUAGUAUCUCCAGUAUCUCACAUGUGGCAAAUCAAGGUACACGAGAUGUUGGUGUUCAAUUUAAUGCAAUCGAGCUGAAAAAUUAUGCAGAUGAUGUGAAAUUUUAUACUCCAGACGGAGAAAUACAAAAGCCUAAAAUACCUGGAAGGAAGAAGCGGAAAAUUGAUCCCAGUAAGUUUAUUGAGGUUUUAUCUUCUCAUCAUCUAGUUAAACCUCAAGAAGUGAAAAAAUCCUCAUCAUUUAUUGAUUCAAUGAAACUGCAGAUGAUUUGCAGCAAUCAGCUCUUCAAGAAGAUGAAGUUGAAAUGCGCUUUAGAUUUUAUGAGAGUUCUUCUGCAAGAAAGCGAACUGUGACUGCUGAAGAAAGAGAAAGGGCAAUAAAUGCAGCCAAAGCUUUUGAGCCUAUUAAUCCUUUUUGUAGGGUUGUCCUGCGACCAUCUUACCUAUACAGGGGUUGCAUUAUGGUGAAUGAUUAACUAUAUUCUAUACUUUUACUUUUGCAUUUUACACAAUGCUAUGCUUAGCAUAAAAUGUAUCCUUUUCUCUGUGCAGUAUUUGCCUUCUUGCUUUGCUGAGAAGAAUUUAAAUGGGGUAUCAGGGUUUAUUAAACUCCAGUUUUCUGAUGGGAAACAAUGGCCUGUCCGAUGCCUAUAUAGGGGAGGUAGAGCUAAAUUAAGCCAAGGGUGGUAUGAAUUCACAUUGGAGAAUAAUUUGGGGGAAGGAGAUGUUUGUAUCUUUGAGCUGAUGAGAUCAAUAGAUAUUGUGCUGAAAGUUACCGUAUUUCACGUUCUUGAAAGUGCUAGACGCAUGAUCCCAUCUUGACAAUAAAGUAUCGUGUUCACUAAACUAGACAGAAUCUGCUGGUUGGUAAUUUUGCGAACCAAGAAACUUUGUCAAGUAACUCUCUUUCUGGGUGAUUGUCAAUGCUCUGGUUUUCAUCUUAUGGUAUGCAAGUGUCGUUUGAUGUCUAUAACUUUUCAUAGCAAACUAGCGGAACUUUCCAUUGUUUAGAUGUUUCAAUAGAUAAUUUUGUGGCUUCGCUGGGGCUGUAAAUAGAAUGUACAAUCAACUUAUAUUUAACCAGACCACAACAGAUUUUAGGCAUAUUUUAUUGUUUGUUUGUUUAGUUUGAAGUUUCAUUUUUUUGUUUACUGAUAGCUUGCUGCUUUAAUGGUGUCACUUUGAUUGUUAGAAAACUACUUGUAAUUAGCCGUAUACUGGGAAAAUAUGAUAUGAAAACUAAU